UAGGGAAUCUUCCGCAAUGGACGAAAGUCUGACGGAGCAACGCCGCGUGAACGAAGAAGGCCUUCGGGUCGUAAAGUUCUGUUGUUAGGGAAGAACAAGUACCAGAGUAACUGCUGGUGCCUUGACGGUACCUAACCAGAAAGCCACGGCUAACUACGUG
rnacentral:rRNA from 1 species